rnacentral:misc_RNA from 1 species
GAUGAAGAACGUAGCAAAGUGCGAUAACUAGUGUGAAUUGCAUAUUCAGUGAAUCAUCGAGUCUUUGAACGCACAUUGCGCCCCCUGGUAUUCCGGGGGGCAUGCCUGUCCGAGCGUCAUUGCUGCCCUCAAGCACGGCUUGUGUGUUGGGCCUCCGUCCUCCUCCCGGGGGACGGGCCCGAAAGGCAGCGGCGGCACCGCGUCCGGUCCUCGAGCGUAUGGGGCUUCGUCACCCGCUCUUGUAGGCCCGGCCGGCGCUUGCCGACACAUCAAUCUUUUUUCCAGGUUGACCUCGGAUCAGGUAGGGAUACCCGCUGAACUUAAGCAUAUCAAUAAGCGGAGGA